rnacentral:rRNA from 1 species
AUUAGCGGGAUAACAGGGUGAUCCUAUGCUGCCAAGAAAAGCCUCGGCGCGAGGUUCUAGCCGCCCGUACCCCAAACCGACUCAGGUGGUCAGGUAGAGAAUACUAAGGCGAUCGAGAUAAUCGUGGUUAAGGAACUCGGCAAAAUGCCCCCGUAACUUCGGGAGAAGGGGGGCCCUAAGCGUGAAGCCGCUUGCCGGCUAGCGUGACGGGCCGCAGAGACCAGGGAGAAGCGACUGUUUACUAAAAACACAGGUCCGUGCUAAGUCGCAAGACGAUGUAUACGGACUGACGCCUGCCCGGUGCUGGAAGGUUAAGAGGACGGGUCAGCUCUUCGGAGCGAAGCUCAGAAUUUAAGCCCCAGUAAACGGCGGUGGUAACUAUAACCAUCCUAAGGUAGCGAAAUUCCUUGUCGGGUAAGUUCCGACCUGCACGAAUGGCGUAACGACUUCUCCGCUGUCUCAACCGCGAACUCGGCGAAAUUGCACUACGAGUAAGGAUGCUCGUUACGCGCAGCAGGACGGAAAGACCCCGGGACCUUUACUAUAGCUUGGUAUUGGUGUUCGGUGCGGCUUGUGUAGGAUAGGUGGGAGACUGCGAAGCUCACGCGCCAGCGUGGGUGGAGUCAACGUUGAAAUACCACUCUGGUCGCUCUGGACUCCUAACCUCGGUCCGUAAUCCGGAUCAGGGACAGUGCCUGGUGGGUAGUUUAACUGGGGCGGUUGCCUCCUAAAAUGUAACGGAGGCGCUCAAAGGUUCCCUCAGCCUGGUUGGCAAUCAGGUGGCGAGUGCAAGUGCACAAGGGAGCUUGACUGUGAGACUGACAGGUCGAGCAGGGACGAAAGUCGGAACUAGUGAUCCGGCGGUGGCUUGUGGAAGCGCCGUCGCUCAACGGAUAAAAGGUACCCCGGGGAUAACAGGCUGAUCUUGCCCAAGAGUCCAUAUCGACGGCAUGGUUUGGCACCUCGAUGUCGGCUCGUCGCAUCCUGGGGCUGGAGUAGGUCCCAAGGGUUGGGCUGUUCGCCCAUUAAAGCGGUACGCGAGCUGGGUUUAGAACGUCGUGAGACAGUUCGGUCCCUAUCCGCUGCGCGCGCAGGAAACUUGAGAAGGGCUGUCCCUAGUACGAGAGGACCGGGACGGACGAACCUCUGGUGUGCCAGUUGUUCCGCCAGGAGCACGGCUGGUUAGCUACGUUCGGAAGGGAUAACCGCUGAAAGCAUCUAAGCGGGAAGCCUGCUUCAAGAUGAGGUUUCCAACCCCGUAUGGGGGAGAGGCACCCAGCUAGACCACUGGGUAGAUAGGCCGGAUGUGGGAGCGGGGACGAAAGACCCGUGAAGCUGACCGGUACUAAUCAGCCGACAAC